GGUGGGGAUACUCAGUGGUAGAGUGUGUGCUUAGCAUGCAUGAAGUCUUGGGUUUAACCCCCAGUACCUCCA
rnacentral:tRNA from 1 species